AGAUUCCUCCCUUGUGGAGCUUCCCCCUGUGAGCCCAGGAUUGUCUGAUACAGGCAGAUAGCUGGGAGCCGCGGAGCAUGUGAUGCUGCCUUCCAUAUAGGGGCAGGAGCAAAGCAAGACCAACUGAUGGACGCCCUAGGGCCAGACUUGCAGACAAUAUAUAACCUACUGCACGAUCUGCAACGCUUCCCACUUUCACAGCGCGAACAUCAGGCGGAGCGCAGCCGUGCUGGGAGAGCAGCCCUGGUGCAGCCCGCAGCCCUCAGCGCCCGCCUGGAUGCCUUCACCUUCAUGUGCUGGAAUCUCCCUUGCGAAGGAAACCGUUCCGGGCUGGGGCUGAAUGGGGGAGGUGGGCUGGAGAUAACACGGUUAACAACGCAAACAAAGCACAGAGGGCGGCUGUCUGUCUGUCUGUCUGUCUGUGGGGGGGUCAGCACGGAGCAGGCAAUAUAUAACUGCUGGGGCUCUCCCUGCGCUGUGCGUCUGUCCCUGCGCUGGGGAACAAACUUCGUGCCCGGGAUAGUUUGUGUGCUGCUGAACGGCGGUCCUCCCAGCAGCACCGGUGGG
rnacentral:lncRNA from 1 species